AACGAACGCUGGCGGCAGGCCUAACACAUGCAAGUCGAGCGCCCUUUCGGGGGAGCGGCGGACGGGUGAGUAACGCGUGGGAAUAUGCCCUUCUCUACGGAAUAGCCUCGGGAAACUGAGAGUAAUACCGUAUACGCCCUGUGGGGGAAAGAUUUAUCGGGGAAGGAUUAGCCCGCGUUGGAUUAGGUAGUUGGUGGGGUAAUGGCCUACCAAGCCGACGAUCCAUAGCUGGUUUGAGAGGAUGAUCAGCCACACUGGGACUGAGACACGGCCCAGACUCCUACGGGAGGCAGCAGUGGGGAAUCUUAGACAAUGGGGGCAACCCUGAUCUAGCCAUGCCGCGUGAGUGAUGAAGGCCUUAGGGUUGUAAAGCUCUUUCAGCUGGGAAGAUAAUGACGGAACCAGCAGAAGAAGCCCCGGCUAACUCCG
rnacentral:rRNA from 1 species